rnacentral:rRNA from 1 species
AUACGUAGGUGACAAGCGUUAUCCGGAUUUACUGGGUGUAAAGGGAGCGUAGGCGGGACGGCAAGUCAGAUGUGAAAUACAUGGGCUCAACCCAUGGGCUGCAUUUGAAACUGCUGUUCUUGAGUGAAGUAGAGGUAAGCGGAAUUCCUGGUGUAGCGGUGAAAUGCGUAGAUAUCAGGAGGAACACCGGUGGCGAAGGCGGCUUACUGGGCUUUUACUGACGCUGAGGCUCGAAAGCGUGGGGAGCAAACAGGAUUAGAUACCCUGGUAGUCCACGCUGUAAACGAUGAUCACUAGGUGUGGGGGGACUGACCCCUUCCGUGCCGCAGUUAACACAAUAAGUGAUCCACCUGGGGAGUACGGCCGCAAGGUUGAAACUCAAAUGAAUUGACGGGG